UACCCGGCCGUCGGGGCAA
rnacentral:snRNA from 1 species